AGGACUUCUGCCCAUGACUACAGUACCAACACAGAGACCACAAACAUUUUCUAAUUCAGGCUGUCCAAAGACAAGAUCAAUUGGGAGCUUUAUUUCAGAGCCAUAGACCAUAGAUGCAGGUGUGACACCAAUGGCUUCAUGUACAGAACUACAAUGGGCCAUGAAACAUAAAGGUGUGCAGUGUUCCCGAUUGUUCCACUCCAGUGUACCAUGCAGGGAAAUGUGUCAGAUAUUAUGUUGCUUCUGUCCUGUCUGUGUCUUCAGUAAAACCAACACCAUUUUCUCCGCUGGUAUCCCAGGCACCAAAGGGUAUUCUGGCCCAACACCAAAUAGCUAUUCCAGCCCAAUUCCUGGAUAUUCCAGCCCAACACCUGGUUCAACAGCAAGACCAUCCUGAAGCCCAUUGUUGGACCAAAAAUUGAAGCCUUCUCUGUAAACAUAGGUGCCCAUGAUAUGUGGAUCCACAGCCAUACUGUAAGAUGGUUCAGAAUCCUGCCACCAAGUGCUGCAUGAAACCCUCAUGCAAUGCUUGUUCACAAACACUUACACCACAGACAUACACACCAGAUGUAUGUGUAUACAAAGAAGUACAUACCAGGAAGGACAAUUGUGGUAUGAUGGCUGUAACAAUGUUUGUGUGGCAAAUGUAACAAAAACAUAUACACAUAUAAACAAAGAUUUGCAAUGCAUGCUACUAUCCAACAAGGCUGUGUACUGGUUUCUGACCCAAAAGAUCCCUCAUGCUGCUGGGUACCAAGUUGUUUGAUCCCUCUGAAACAAACCAUUGGUAUAGUGGUUGCUCCUGAACCUACUGG
rnacentral:lncRNA from 1 species